GAUCCCUGAGCAGGAAAACCUAGAGGCAAGGACAAUGAGUUUGGAAGAGCAAAUCAGGGACCUCUCACCAGUUGCAGCAUCUACCCUUGCAAGAGCUGGAAUUGAAGAGGACAUUGA